UUGGUGAGGUAAUGGCUCACCAAGGCGACGACGGGUUAGCCGGCCUGAGAGGGUGACCGGCCACACUGGGACUGAGACACGGCCCAGACUCCUACGGGAGGCAGCAGUGGGGAAUAUUGCACAAUGGGCGAAAGCCUGAUGCAGCAACGCCGCGUGAGGGAUGACGGCCUUCGGGUUGUAAACCUCUUUUAGUAGGGAAGAAGCGUAAGUGACGGUACCUGCAGAAAAAGCACCGGCUAACUACGUGCCAGCAGCCGCGGUAAUACGUAGGGUGCAAGCGUUGUCCGGAAUUAUUGGGCGUAAAGAGCUCGUAGGCGGUUUGUCGCGUCUGCUGUGAAAUCCCGAGGCUCAACCUCGGGCUUGCAGUGGGUACGGGCAGACUAGAGUGCGGUAGGGGAGAUUGGAAUUCCUGGUGUAGCGGUGGAAUGCGCAGAUAUCAGGAGGAACACCGAUGGCGAAGGCAGAUCUCUGGNCNGUNNCUGACGCUGAGGAGCGAAAGCGUGGGGAGCGAACAGGAUUAGAUACCCUGGUAGUCCACGCCGUAAACGUUGGGCGCUAGAUGUAGGGACCU
rnacentral:rRNA from 2 species